UGCAAAUUAAGAUGCUGUUGACGGAUACGCCGCAGGCUGUCUUAAGCGUCGUGAUCAAAAUCCAAAUAGGCCUCUCUUCACAUGGACUCUCAUCAUUCAGUAGCCCAGCCUGGACUUCCCCACAACAUGGCAGCUGGGGUCCAAGAGGGAAGAAGUGGAAGCUACUAGUCCUUUUAAGGCCUGUGCCACUGGAAGUCUCAAAAUGUCAUUCCCAUCUCAUUCUGUUGGUUAAAGCCAGUCACAAGCCUACAGGAGGCUUAGGUGACACACACCUCUACAUGCAGGAAUAGCGGUGUUUGUGACUGG